AUGUAUGCCUGUGGUUGUCAGCGUGACUCCGGACAGGUAACCGGGUGUGUUGCUGGUGCCAUGGCAACCCCAGAGUUGCGUCUGUUGCCUGUCAUCGUGGUUACCAUCGUCCUGGUGGCGUUGUCGGCUGCGGAUGACCACGAGUGGCACUUUAAACCAGGUAAGAGGUCAGAUGUUAGACAGGAAGUGGCUGUUUAAGGUCAAAUCAGAUCCCUAGAAUAUGAUUGGUCGUUAUUGUUGAAGAGAAUGGGUUCUCAAUAACCUACCUAGUUAAAGCCAAGGUAGAUAGUAGACGGUCUAGGGAUUGAUGAUCGUUGACCAAUCGGCCAGGUUUAAUACAAUUUGAGUCACAACAGGGGAAAGUGUGUUUUACCUUCCAUUCAAGAUCUCACAGGCACCCCCUCAGAAAUGUCAGACAAUUCCAUCUUGGCUUCACCUAUUGCCCUAUCCUCCUCCAUCCCUCGCCCUCUCUGCCCCUCUCUUGUCUACAUUCUCCUCACAUUCUUGGAUGUGUGCCUUAAGUCUGUCCAUCAGCUAUCAGCAGUCGAUUAUGUUUCAGGUCCAU
rnacentral:lncRNA from 1 species